rnacentral:rRNA from 1 species
GCAAUACUUCGGAAGAUCUAGUGGCGAACGGGUGAGGAACACGUGAGAAACCUGCCCCGGACUUUGGGAUAACAGUUGGAAACGAUUGCUAAUACCGAAUGCCGUCGCGAAGUGGCAUCACUUUGCGACGAAAGAAUUUCGGUCCGGGAGGGUCUCGCGGCCUAUCAGCUAGUUGGUGGGGUAACGGCCUACCAAGGCAUCGACGGGUAGCUGGUCUGAGAGGAUGAUCAGCCACACUGGGACUGAGACACGGCCCAGACUCCUACGGGAGGCAGCAGUGGGGAAUCUUGUGCAAUGGGCGAAAGCCUGACACAGCAACGCCGCGUGCGGGAAGAAGGCCUUCGGGUCGUAAACCGCUUUCAGCAGGAACGAAAAUGACGGUACCUGCAGAAGAAGGUGCGGCCAACUACGUGCCAGCAGCCGCGGUGACACGUAGGCACCAAGCGUUGUCCGGAUUUAUUGGGCGUAAAGAGCUCGUAGGCGGUUCAGCAAGUCGGGUGUGAAAACUCUGGGCUCAACCCAGAGCCUGCACCCGAAACUGCUGUGACUAGAGUUCGGUAGGGGAGCGGGGAAUUCCUAGUGUAGCGGUGAAAUGCGCAGAUAUUAGGAGGAACACCGGUGGCGAAGGCGCCGCUCUGGGCCGAUACUGACGCUGAGGAGCGAAAGCGUGGGUAGCAAACAGGAUUAGAUACCCUGGUAG